rnacentral:tRNA from 1 species
UCUGCCUUGGCAGAUUAAUGCUUCAGCCUUAGGAGCUGACUAUGAGCUAAGCUCAGGUAGGA